rnacentral:rRNA from 1 species
AUUGAACGCUGGCGGCAGGCUUAACACAUGCAAGUCGAGCGGAGUGAUGGUGCUUGCACUAUCACUUAGCGGCGGACGGGUGAGUAAUGCUUAGGAAUCUGCCUAUUAGUGGGGGACAACAUCUCGAAAGGGAUGCUAAUACCGCAUACGUCCUACGGGAGAAGGCAGGGGAUCACUUGUGACCUUGCGCUAAUAGAUGAGCCUAAGUCGGAUUAGCUAGUUGGUGGGGUAAAGGCCCACCAAGGCGACGAUCUGUAGCGGGUCUGAGAGGAUGAUCCGCCACACUGGGACUGAGACACGGCCCAGACUCCUACGGGAGGCAGCAGUGGGGAAUAUUGGACAAUGGGGGGAACCCUGAUCCAGCCAUGCCGCGUGUGUGAAGAAGGCCUUAUGGUUGUAAAGCACUUUAAGCGAGGAGGAGGCUCUUUUGGUUAAUACCCAAGAUGAGUGGACGUUACUCGCAGAAUAAGCACCGGCUAACUCUGUGCCAGCCGCCGCAGUAA